rnacentral:lncRNA from 1 species
UGUUCUAGAAGCUAUUUGUUUACAUUCUAGAAGCUGUUUGUUUACGUUCUAGAAUCUUUUUAUGUUUACAUUCUAGAAGCUGUUUGUUUACAUUCUAGAAUCUUUUUACGUUUACGUUCUAGAAGCUGUUUCUUCUCCAUUCUGGAAGCUGCCAAACUGCCCUGCUAGUUGUCUUCCUUCACAGAGCAUCACAGUCAGUCAGCUACCCAGAGAUAAAGUAGACAUACCACGAUGUCUGUUUAUUACUGUACAUACCCUGGGUCUCUCUACAUCUGCUCUGUGGAAUACAAACCCUGCUCGUUGUUACCAUGGUGACAACACACCCACACACACACACUCACUAGCGAACCUCACUGCCCAGUGUGUGUGUGUGUGUGUGUGUGUGUGUGUGUGUGUGUGUGUGUUGUUUCAGGUCUGAAGAAAAAGAAAGACAAGUAAAGUGUUCUAGAACCAGGAGGUGUUCUAGAACCAGGAGGUGUUCUAGAAACAGGAGGUGUUCUAGAACCAGUCUGUCUCUCCAUCUUGUACAGCGGCUCUAGGUGAAGCCGAGACAUUUACAGUCAUAUUACAUAUUAUAUUUACAAUCCAAGAGGUUUUGGUGUUUGUUGAUAUAUAUAUAUAUAUAUAUAUAUAAAAAAAAAGGUCAAACAUGAUGAAUAUAUAUAAAACGCUGAAUAUAAAACUGACCUCCACAAAGCCUGGUGCCACCUGCUCCUUUUAGCGGUGAAACAGCGUCCUCUAGCAGCCGGAGGAAAUAGAGCUUUUAAAGUGCAACAACAACAGCUUCUUAGCAGAGACUAAUAAUAUCUCGAGCAAGAAUUUAGCUCGGACUGUCAGAGCGGUCUGAUUGGUGAGGGGGGGAACUUAGCUGUUAUUGGCAGAGAGAUUUCAAACCUCUCUUAUUGGUCUAUUAACCUAAUUAUGAUGUCACAAGGCUGGCCAAAAAAAACUCCGCCCCCAACCAAAAAACAGGAUUGAAAAUUUCAGAGGGGUCUUUUCAAAUAACUCUUCCCACUAAAAUGACAUUAUCAAUUUCACAGUAUUAUUCCAACCUCAUAGCGUGGAAAUAUAUCAAUCACAGGAACGUUUUUUCACUGCCCUGGGCCUUUAAAAGAAGUUUAAUAAAAAGUGACGAAUGUAAUAUUGUGUGGUAAAAAAAAAAAAAAUGUUCUGUUGAAUUCUGUGUAAUUAUGAAUUUUGAUUUAAAAGAGAUGUUUUGAUUUGUAAAAUUCAUUUGAUCUGAAUUGAGAUGGAGAAAUAAAAAAUAAAACGUUGAUUACCCCUAAAAAAAAAUACUGAAAGGUUGAAUAAAAUGACAGAUAAAACUCCGUUCUGUUAUAGGGGAGGUCUUUAUGUCCAGAUAAAAGGGGAGGUUUCCUUUAUGUCCAGAUAAAAGGGGAGGUUUCCUUUAUGUUCAGAUAAAAGGGGAGGUUUCCUUUAUGUCCAGAUAAAAGGGGAGGUUUCCUUUAUGUCCAGAUAAAAGGGGAGGUUUUCCUUUAUGUUCAGAUAAAAGGGGAGGUUUCAGUAUGCAGAUCAGGGACGAUAUACAGGACCAGUCAAAAUGUUGGACAACACCAACUCAAUCCAGGGUUUUUAUUUUAAUUGUAUUUUUCUACAUUGUAGAAUAAUAGUGACGACAUCAAAACUAUGAAAACAACCCCUAUUAAUAUAGAAUGUUCUCUGGG